rnacentral:rRNA from 1 species
GACGAACGCUGGCGGCGUGCCUAAUACAUGCAAGUAGAACGCUGAAGGAGGAGCUUGCUUCUCUGGAUGAGUUGCGAACGGGUGAGUAACGCGUAGGUAACCUGCCUGGUAGCGGGGGAUAACUAUUGGAAACGAUAGCUAAUACCGCAUAAAAUUGAUUAUCGCAUGAUAAUCCAUUGAAAGGUGCAAUUGCAUCACUACCAGAUGGACCUGCGUUGUAUUAGCUAGUUGGUGGGGUAACGGCUCACCAAGGCGACGAUACAUAGCCGACCUGAGAGGGUGAUCGGCCACACUGGGACUGAGACACGGCCCAGACUCCUACGGGAGGCAGCAGUAGGGAAUCUUCGGCAAUGGACGGAAGUCUGACCGAGCAACGCCGCGUGAGUGAAGAAGGUUUUCGGAUCGUAAAGCUCUGUUGUAAGAGAAGAACGAGUGUGAGAGUG